AAUCCCUGGAAGCACUGAACGGGACUCAUGGGCAGACUGUUAAAUAAAUGCUGUCCCGUGCCCCCCCAAGCCCCAAGUUUCCAGGGUGGGCAUGAAGGGGUUGGCAGACAUGUUCGUUUAAAAGGGAGGACCCGCAGACAGUGGAUCUGCUCCAUACGUUCAAUCAAGCAGGAAGUGUGGAGAGGACUGGUAGGAGACGCUGUUUCCAAACCGUUGUGUGACUCAUUUCCUAAAGCAACGUCUGAAAGAAAGGAGUGUCCCGGGCGCACUGCACAGGCCCACGUCCAUGUGGUGGAAACCACAUCGGAUUGGGAUUCCGGUCCAACCUCAUCAACUAACUAGUCGGACACCUUGAGCCCUGGAGCAUGUGGGCUGUCGUCCCCGUAGGGCAGGCAGCUCCUCCUGCCAGUGUGAAAAUGGAAUGUGAGCAACAUCUACCACUCCAAACUGCAGCUGAGAUAGACAGAGGAAGAGGAUGCAUGGGCUUCCACUCCCUCUCCACACGAUCUCGGCAUGUGGUCCUUAUUGUAUAGACAAAGAGGCUGAGGCUUUGGGAAUUCCAGGUCACUCGUAAUAAAUGCUCGCCGGAUGAGAAGCCUUUUUAUAAGGUGCAAUGGUUCCAUGACUAAACGUCUUUUUUUUUAGUGUAGCUUCAUGUUUUUCUCCAGGGAUUCCAUGCUGCCUCUUACCUUUGCAGCAGGCCAAGAUAGCUCCCUGCUUUGUCUCUGACGUGAUGAUUCUCAAACAGCCCGGAAACUAGGCACCUGAUGGCCUCUUCUGGCUUCUGCGGACACUGAGCGCAUGUACUAACAGACAUGCAUGCAGGUAAAACACUCACACAUAUAAAAUUAAAAAUCGAGAGGAGAGGGUGGGGGCUGGGCUUGCUGGCGUGUGCUGUGAUCCCAGUACUGGAGGUGGAGACAAAAAAAUGAUCCUUGAGGCUCACUGGUCAUCCAGAUCCAAGAGAGACCCUGUCUCAAACAGUGACAAAAAAAAUCAAGGUAGAUGGGGACCAAAGAACCACACCUUAGGUUGACAUCUUCUCUCCACAUGCACACACUAACAGCUUCCAGUGCUAGAGUGAUGUUGAAUGCUCAGGCCUAGAAAAUAUAUUUAUCUCGCCCCUGCAGGACUCAGCGAACACCACCGAAGAGGUCACAGAGAGAAUGUAAGAGUCGGAGGAGGAAGAGGAGCCUUGUGGGGUGGAGUCUUUCAGAUGCCGCAGGGCCUUUGCACUCAUGAACUGCAGCUGCUCUGACAUCAGACGUGCAUCAGACCCAGGCAGGAUUAGACCCAUCUCAAGCCUUCAUAGAUGCAAGACAGACCCAUGCAUCCCACCCCUCCCUGGGGAUGUAUAGGCUGUUAAUGGCUGCUGAGUGUAGGGGACCUUUAAUUCAGUGGUCUUGUAAGGCUAAGUGAGCCUUAGCUACCAGGAGACCCCCAAAUGAGACUCAAGAAUGGAGUUCGAUGCAAAAGCAAGAGGUUUAUUGUUCCAGAACUCUGGGGUCAUCCUGCACCCAGAGGAGAGGUGACCCCCUUCUCUUCCUUUCAUAAGAUUUUUAUACAAUUUUUAAGGGCAGAUUAUAGCAAUACCAAUUAGGAUCGCAAUGACUGGUGGUCAUGGUGACCUUUACAUUAAUUGGCUGGGCAGGGAGGGGGACUCAGGGACCCUCCCUAAGGCCCGGCGCAAAGUUCCAAGUCAGGACCCUCUCUCAGUGUAGCCUCUGGUAUGCUACUAUAAAUAACCCCUCACCCAUGUGCAUGUAAGUAGCUCUACUCAAAGUCAAUGGGUCACCCCCCAAAUCAGUCAAUUAUUAAAUAAAAUAAAGGGAAAUAACUAGCUAGGAAGAGGAUGACAGUCAUACAGGGUGAGGGGGACAAGAAAGCAAUGAAGGGGACUAUGACUAAAACAAAUUAUGCACAUGUAUGACAUCGUCAAAAUGUCAUGAAAUACAUAGGAGAAAGUGUGAGGUGCUCCAGGAUAAACAAAAACCAAAGAGCCUGCCCCAAAGCAUGCUCUAGAAAAGGAUAAACAAAAUGAUGUCAUAAAUUAACCUGCAUAAAAAAGAUCUUCAUUAAAGAUUAAUACAUGGACAA
rnacentral:sRNA from 1 species